CAUGAUUGUGUCCCACUUGUUGUUGAUUCUUCACAAAAAAUUACAGUUUUAUAUCUUUAUGUUUGAAGCCUGAAAUGUGGCAAAAGGUCAAAAAGUUCAAGGGGGCCGAAUACUUUCGCAAGGCACUAUAUAUAUAUAUAUAUAUAUAUCUCUGCCUUACUUUUUCUCAAUAGUUGGUUUGAGAUUGAAGUUUUGAAUCUUAAGCAACCUGCCUACAUGUUGUACAGUAGACCAACAUAGCUACUGUACUAGAUGAAAGCUGUGUGCUUGCAUAGCUCGGCAGGGCAUGGGUAAAGCCAGGCCUUGUGGUGCUCAUGUGAGCAGCCUAAAUUCUCACAAAAAAUGUUUGUGAUUCAUUUAUAUCAAGGACCUAGUUAUGGCCACUGUCUUCUUGUCUGAGACCAACAAGAUGAAGUCUCUGUAACACCUCCGGUAACCCCUCCCUUCUCUCCCUUUCCUCCCGUUCCUUCCUUCUCUCCUUCUCCCUUCCACUCCCUUCUCUCCCUUUCCUCCAUUUCCUCCCUGCUAUCCCUUUCCUCUAUUCUCUCCCUUUCAUCCAUUCCCUCCCUUCUCUCCUUUUCCCCUCUUCUCUCCCUUUUCUCCCUUCUCACCCUUCUCUCCAUGUCCUCCCUUCUCUCCCUUUCCUCCCUUCUCACCCUUCUUUCCCUUCUCUCCCUUUCCUCCCUUCUCUCCCAUUUCCUCCCUUCUCUCCCUAAUCUCCAUUUCCCCCCUUCUCUCCCUUUCCUCCCUGAUCUCCUUACUCUCCAUUUCCUCCCGGCUCUCCCUUCUCCCCUUUUCUCCCUUAUCUCCAUUCUCUCCCUUUCCGCCCUUCUCACCCUUCUCUCCCCUUCCUCCCUGCUCUCCCUUUCCUCCCUUUCCUUCCUUCCCUCCCUUCUCUCCUUUCCUCCCUUCUCUCCCUCAUCGUCCCAUUCCUCCCUUUUCUCCCUCAUCUCCCUUUCCUCCCUUCUCUCCCUUUUCUCCCUACUCUCCCUUUCCUACCUUCUCACCCUUCAUGUCCCAUUCCUCCCUUCUCUCCCAUUACUCCCUUCUCUCCCUCAUCUCUCUUCUCUCCCUUCUCUCUCUUUCCUCCCUUCUCUCCCUUCUCUUACUUCUCUCCCUUUCCUUCUCUUCUUACUGGGUUGGCCACCCUCUCGCCAUCUGGUCCUGCCUGUCUUCUUUGCUUGGCUAUCCUCCUCUCCUCUUCUGUUUUCUUGUUCCCCCUGUCCUCCUACACCUCCUCCUCCCGCUUGUCUCGCUCAUGGUCUCCUGUUUAUCUUGACCUCUAGCAGCGUUGUUUCCCUACCUAUUUCUCCUCUUCGAAAGAGCAACACUGUAGCAACAGGAGAGGACUGUGUUCAACACUGUAGCAACAGGAGAGGACCGUGUUCAACACUGUAGCAACAGGAGAGGACAGUGUUCAACACUGUAGCAACAGGAGAGGACAGUGUUCAACACUGUAGCAACAGGAGAGGACAGUGUUCAACACUGUAGCAACAGGAGAGGACAGUGUUCAACACUGUAGCAACAGGAGAGGAGAGUGUUCAACACUGUAGCAACAGGAGAGGACAGUGUUCAACACUGUAGCAACAGGAGAGGACAGUGUUCAACACUGUAGCAACAGGAGAGGACAGUGUUCAACACUGUAGCAACAGGAGAGGACAGCGUUCAACACGGCAGCAACAGGAGAGGACAGUGUUGAAGCAUUGGAACAACAGGAGAGGUCAGUGUUGAAGCAUUGGAACAACAGGAGAGGACAGGGUUGAAGCAUUGGAACAACAGGAGAGGUCAGUGUUGAAGCAUUGGAACAACAGGAGAGGACAGGGUUGAAGCAUUGGAACAACAGGAGAGGACAGGGUUGAGGCAUUGGAACAACAGGAGAGGACAGUGUUGAAGCAUUGGAACAACAGGAGAGGACAGUGUUGAGGCAUUGGAACAACAGGAGAGGACAGUGUUGAAGCAUUGGAACAACAGGAGAGGACAGGGUUGAAGCAUUGGAACAACAGGAGAGGACAGUGUU
rnacentral:lncRNA from 1 species